GUUACAAGUUAAAGUCCUGCAUUGAAAAUAUUACUUCAUUAUUUAAUGGUCAAAUCAUCUCAGCUGGAUUUGUAGGCCGUUAUAUUGUCGGCUAGUUUCAUUUAGAAUAAAACAUCAGAUUUUAUAAAC